UGGGGAAUAUUGGACAAUGGGCGCAAGCCUGAUCCAGCCAUACCGCGUGGGUGGAGAAGGCCUUCGGGUUGUAAAGCCCUUUUGUUGGGAAAGAAAUCCAGUCGGCUAAUACCUGGUUGGGAUGACGGUACCCAAAGAAUAAGCACCGGCUAACUUCGUGCCAGCAGCCGCGGUAAUACGAAGGGUGCAAGCGUUACUCGGAAUUACUGGGCGUAAAGCGUGCGUAGGUGGUCGUUUAAGUCCGUUGUGAAAGCCCUGGGCUCAACCUGGGAACUGCAGUGGAUACUGGGCGACUAGAGUGUGGUAGAGGGUAGCGGAAUUCCUGGUGUAGCAGUGAAAUGCGUAGAGAUCAGGAGGAACAUCCAUGGCGAAGGCAGCUACCUGGACCAACACUGACACUGAGGCACGAAAGCGUGGGGAGCAAACAGGAUUAGAUACCCUGGUAGUCCACGCCCUAAACGAUGCGAACUGGAUGUUGGGUGCAAUUUGGCACGCAGUAUCGAAGCUAACGCGUUAAGUUCGCCGCCUGGGGAGUACGGUCGCAAGACUG
rnacentral:rRNA from 1 species